rnacentral:rRNA from 1 species
AUUGAACGCUGGCGGCAGGCUUAACACAUGCAAGUCGAGCGAGCGGCGGACGGGUGAGUAAUGUAUGGGGAACUGCCUGAUAGAGGGGGAUAACUACUGGAAACGGUGGCUAAUACCGCAUACCAUCGGAUGUACCCAUAUGGGAUUAGCUAGUAGGUGGGGUAAUGGCUCACCUAGGCGACGAUCCCUAGCUGGUCUGAGAGGAUGAUCAGCCACACUGGAACUGAGACACGGCCCAGACUCCUACGGGAGGCAGCAGUGGGGAAUAUUGCACAAUGGGCGCAAGCCUGAUGCAGCCAUGCCGCGUGUAUGAAGAAGGCCUUCGGGUUGUAAAGUACUUUCAGCGGGGAGGCGUUACCCGCAGAAGAAGCACCGGCUAACUCCGUGCCAGCAGCCGCGGUAAUUC